UCCGUUUGCCUUCGCAGAGACGGAUCUGACCUAGCCCGAUCCGAUUCGGUUCUGGCGAUCCAUAAUCUGUUUGAUCUGUUUGUGUUACUAUUUGUUACUGUUCACUGUUCUGUUUUAUGUUACUGUCACUAACCAACAAUCGGUACGUUCAUCUUCAGUGUCUCUCUGGCUCGAAGAUCGAUCGAUUUGUUAAGUUUUUUUAGUUUAAUUUUAAUGCUUUUAUAUCUGAUUGUAUUUUUUUUGUCUACAGAUUAUAAAUGACCGUGAAACCGGAAGAUCUCGUGGUUUUGGAUUUGUGACCUUCGGCAAUGAGAAGGCAAUGAGAGAUGCUAUUGAUGGAAUGAACGGUCAGGACCUCGAUGGCCGUAACAUCACCGUGAACGAAGCUCAAUCCCGCGGAAGUGGUGGAGGUGGUGGUGGCGGCGGUGGUUACAACCGCAACAGCGGUGGUGGCGGUUAUGGAGGAGGUGGACGCCGUGAAGGCGGCGGUGGUUACAGCCGUGGCGGAGGCGGCUACGGAGGCGGUGGAAGCGGAUAUGGUAGUGGUGGCGGCGGCGGUGGUUAUGGCGGUGGCCGUGACCGUGGUUAUGGUGACGGUGGAUCUAGGUACUCUUCAAGGGGUGAAUCCGAAGGUGGUAGCUGGAGGAGUUAGGUUUAUUUGGUUGCUGGUUGGUUAUGAUAUUAAGACUUUAGUUUCUAGUCAAGCUUGUUUGGUUCCCGGUUCUCUCG
rnacentral:lncRNA from 1 species